rnacentral:rRNA from 1 species
GAUGAACGCUGGCGGCGUGCCUAAUACAUGCGAGUCGAGCGAACAGACGAGGAGCUUGCUUUUCUGACGUUAGCGGCGGACGGGUGAGUAACACGUGGAUAACCUACCUAUAAGACUGGGAUAACUUCGGGAAACCGGAGCUAAUACCGGAUAAUAUAUUGAACCGCAUGGUUCAAUAGUGAAAGACGGUCUUGCUGUCACUUAUAGAUGGAUCCGCGCUGCAUUAGCUAGUUGGUAAGGUAACGGCUUACCAAGGCAACGAUGCAUAGCCGACCUGAGAGGGUGAUCGGCCACACUGGAACUGAGACACGGUCCAGACUCCUACGGGAGGCAGCAGUAGGGAAUCUUCCGCAAUGGGCGAAAGCCUGACGGAGCAACGCCGCGUGAGUGAUGAAGGUCUUCGGAUCGUAAAACUCUGUUAUUAGGGAAGAACAAAUGUGUAAGUAACUGUGCACGUCUUGACGGUACCUAAUCAGAAAGCCACGGCUAACUACGUG